UCGAAGCAACGCGCAGAACCUUACCUACCCUUGACAUGUCUAGUAUGGUGUUCCAGAGAUGGGAUUCUUCAGUUCGGCUGGCUAGAACACAGGUGCUGCAUGGCUGUCGUCAGCUCGUGUCGUGAGAUGUUGGGUUAAGUCCCGCAACGAGCGCAACCCUCGCCUUUAGUUGCCAUCAUUUAGUUGGGCACUCUAGAGGGACUGCCGGUGAUAAGCCGGAGGAAGGUGGGGAUGACGUCAAGUCCUCAUGGCCCUUACGGGUAGGGCUACACACGUGCUACAAUGGUGGUGACAGUGGGCAGCGACACAGUGAUGUGAUGCUAAUCUCAAAAAGCCAUCUCAGUUCAGAUUGUACUCUGCAACUCGAGUACAUGAAGUUGGAAUCGCUAGUAAUCGUAGAACAGCAUGCUACGGUGAAUACGUUCCCGGGCCUUGUACACACCGCCCGUCACACCAUGGGAGUUGGUUUUACCUGAAGACGGUGUUCUAACCCGCAAGGGAGGAAGCCGGCCACG
rnacentral:rRNA from 1 species